GUUCACUGGCACCAAGGAAAUUCUAGCAACUCACUCUUCUGGUGCAAGAGGAGAGAUUGGGAAACCCAGGUAACAGUGCAUAGAUGAAUUGCCUAAGGUUCUGCUUCUAGUUGGUGUCCUGCGAAUCAGUUCAGCCCAGAGAACUCAUCACUACCAGGCCCAGUUGAAGAGUCUUGCUCCGUUGCUCAGGCUGGCGCGAUCUCGGCUCACUGCAAGCUCCGCCUCCCGGGUUCGCACCACUCUCCUGCCUCAGCCUCCCGAGCAGCUGGGGCUACAGGCGCCGCCACCACGCCCGGCUAAUUUUUUGUAUUUUUAGUAGAGACGGGGUUUCACCGUGUUAGCCAGGAUGGUCUGGAUCUCCUGACCUCGUGAUCCGCCCACCUCGAUCCUCUUAAAUUUUAAGUCCAAACAUGUCACGUUUUUGCUCAAAACCCUCCAAUGGUUUCCCAAAUCAUUCAGCACAAAAACCAAAGUCCCUCUAAUUACUUAUAAUACUCUCCCCCAACCUACCAUCCCUAACCUCAUCACUAAUACUCUUAUACUUAAUCAUCUGCUACAGCCUACAAUUUCCUCUGCUGUUCCUCAAACAUCCCAAAGAUUUUGUCACCUGAAGGUCUUUGCAUGUUCUGCCUCCUCGUCCUGGAAAGCUUUUCCCCAAAUACCAUUUUGUCUCUGCCUUCAGAUUUUUGAUCAAAUGUCACCUUGCUCCCAAAGUUUUCUCUGGCCAUGCUAUUUAAAGUACAAUGCUCUGCUCCACUCCUUGCAAUCUCAAUGCCUCUGUCCUGCUUUAGUUUUCCUUUGUAGCUGUUAUCAUCAACUGACAUAGAGAUUGCUUAUGUAUUUUGUCGUUUUCUGUCUCCUCACAUUAGGAACUAGGGUUCGUGAGAGUGGGGGUUUUGUAGGCUUUGGAAAUUAGUAUUUCUUUAGCAACAAGAACAGUGUAUAUGGCAGACACUCAAUAAAUCCUUGCUUUAAAAAGUAACAGUGUAUCAUGAUAAAAAUACAUAGGCACAUGAAUGAAAUAUAAAUACAAUGGUAUCCAUCUCCAAUAUGUUCUCCAAUGAUCUUUACCUGCUGCUAAAGAAUUAGUGUAGUCCUCCUCUCCAUUGUAUCAGGGUUAAUCUGUG
rnacentral:lncRNA from 1 species